UGGGUACCCCUUGGGUGCUGGCAAUGGGC
rnacentral:piRNA from 1 species